rnacentral:rRNA from 1 species
GGGUUGUGAGGUUAAGCGACUAAGCGUACACGGUGGAUGCCCUGGCAGUCAGAGGCGAUGAAGGACGUGCUAAUCUGCGAUAAGCGCCGGUAAGGUGAUAUGAACCGUUAUAACCGGCGAUUUCCGAAUGGGGAAACCCAGUGUGAUUCGUCACACUAUCAUUAACUGAAUCCAUAGGUUAAUGAGGCGAACCGGGGGAACUGAAACAUCUAAGUACCCCGAGGAAAAGAAAUCAACCGAGAUUCCCCCAGUAGCGGCGAGCGAACGGGGAGGAGCCCAGAGCCUGAAUCAGCAUGUGUGUUAGUGGAAGCGUCUGGAAAGGCGCGCGAUACAGGGUGACAGCCCCGUACACAAAAGCGCAUGUGCUGUGAGCUCGAUGAGUAGGGCGGGACACGUGGUAUCCUGUCUGAAUAUGGGGGGACCAUCCUCCAAGGCUAAAUACUCCUGACUGACCGAUAGUGAACCAGUACCGUGAGGGAAAGGCGAAAAGAACCCCGGCGAGGGGAGUGAAAAAGAACCUGAAACCGUGUACGUACAAGCAGUGGGAGCNGUGACUGCGUACCUUUUGUAUAAUGGGUCAGCGACUUAUAUUCUGUAGCAAGGUUAACCGAAUAGGGGAGCCGGAGGGAAACCGAGUCUUAAUUGGGCGUUAAGUUGCAGGGUAUAGACCCGAAACCCGGUGAUCUAGCCAUGGGCAGGUUGAAGGUUGGGUAACACUAACUGGAGGACCGAACCGACUAAUGUUGAAAAAUUAGCGGAUGACCUGUGGCUGGGGGUGAAAGGCCAAUCAAACCGGGAGAUAGCUGGUUCUCCCCGAAAGCUAUUUAGGUAGCGCCUCGUGAAUUCAUCUCCGGGGGUAGAGCACUGUUUCGGCUAGGGGGCCAUCCCGGCUUACCAACCCGAUGCAAACUGCGAAUACCGGAGAAUGUUAUCACGGGAGACACACGGCGGGUGCUAACGUCCGUCGUGAAGAGGGAAACAACCCAGACCGCCAGCUAAGGUCCCAAAGUCAUGGUUAAGUGGGAAACGAUGUGGGAAGGCCCAGACAGCCAGGAUGUUGGCUUAGAAGCAGCCAUCAUUUAAAGAAAGCCAUUAUCGAGUGACCAGCUCAGCCGGACGCGCCUUCUACAUUGCCCCGAUUUGGUACGUGGCUUCGACGCCGUCGCUCACUCAGGUGUUGUUGGGUAGGGGAGCGUUCUGUAAGCCUGCGAAGGUGGCCUGUGAGGGUUGCUGGAGGUAUCAGAAGUGCGAAUGCUGACAUAAGUAACGAUAAAGCGGGUGAAAAGCCCGCUCGCCGGAAGACCAAGGGUUCCUGUCCAACGUUAAUCGGGGCAGGGUGAGUCGACCCCUAAGGCGAGGCCGAAAGGCGUAGUCGAUGGGAAACGGGUUAAUAUUCCCGUACUUGGUGUUACUGCGAAGGGGGGACGGAGAAGGCUAUGUUGGCCGGGCGACGGUUGUCCCGGUUUAAGCGUGUAGGUGUGUGUUCCAGGUAAAUCCGGUUCACUUUAACACUGAGGCGUGAUGACGAGGCACUACGGUGCUGAAGCAACAAAUGCCCUGCUUCCAGGAAAAGCCUCUAAGCAUCAGGUAACAUCAAAUCGUACCCCAAACCGACACAGGUGGUCAGGUAGAGAAUACCAAGGCGCUUGAGAGAACUCGGGUGAAGGAACUAGGCAAAAUGGUGCCGUAACUUCGGGAGAAGGCACGCUGACANGGAGCUGAAGUCAGUCGAAGAUACCAGCUGGCUGCAACUGUUUAUUAAAAACACAGCACUGUGCAAACACGAAAGUGGACGUAUACGGUGUGACGCCUGCCCGGUGCCGGAAGGUUAAUUGAUGGGGUCAGCGCAAGCGAAGCUCCUGAUCGAAGCCCCGGUAAACGGCGGCCGUAACUAUAACGGUCCUAAGGUAGCGAAAUUCCUUGUCGGGUAAGUUCCGACCUGCACGAAUGGCGUAAUGAUGGCCAGGCUGUCUCCACCCGAGACUCAGUGAAAUUGAACUCGCUGUGAAGAUGCAGUGUACCCGCGGCAAGACGGAAAGACCCCGUGAACCUUUACUAUAGCUUGACACUGAACAUUGAGCCUUGAUGUGUAGGAUAGGUGGGAGGCUUUGAAGCGUGGACGCCAGUCUGCGUGGAGCCGACCUUGAAAUACCACCCUUUAAUGUUUGAUGUUCUAACGUGGACCCGU